UCCCAAUAUAAAAAGCCAGAAGUGGGGAUUGCAAUGUUUCUUCAAACUAUGUGCAGGUUGGGGAGUAGAGGAAGAAAGAGUGGUAAUUGGCUGAAUUGUAUUUCUGAGGCAUGAAGUUUGCCAAAGUUCAGUGUUUGAAAUAGAUUCUGGGCAGAAUUCUUGUGGAUACUCUGCCAGAACUGGACACGGAAUGUGCGGGAAGACUAACUGUCUUUGCCCUCUAGAUAAAGAAAACAUGAUACAACUCUUUCUUUACCUUUGAGGCUUUUACUUGACUGUAGGCAAUGAUGUAACCCUGAAUUACCAUUACAAACCUCUAUUUCCACAAAUGCAAUGAUAUGACUCAGCUAUAUGUUUGAUUCUCUUCUGUCAAAAUAUUUCAUUGAAUUUAUGUGGAUGUCACUCAUGGAGGACCUUUGGAUUCUCUUCUUGGAACUUAGUUGUUUUAUGGGCUCCAUCAAGUGCUGUAGUUUUGAAAUGCCCCAAGAGGAGAUAUGUGCUGAGAAGCCACAAUGAAGACCAUACCUAGUGAGAGAUUUUCCAAGGGAAAUACAGUGACCAAAGCCACUCUUGCUUAUGGGAGGAGUAGAGAGCCU